rnacentral:rRNA from 1 species
UUGGAGGGCAAGUCUGGUGCCAGCAGCCGCGGUAAUUCCAGCUCCAAUAGCGUAUAUUAAAGUUGUUGCAGUUAAAAAGCUCGUAGUUGAAUUUCGGGGUUAGUAGGUUGGUCAUGCCACUGGUAUGUACUGGUCUCACUGAUUCCUCCUUCCUGAUGAGCCGUAAUGCCAUUAAUUUGGUGUUGCGAGGAAUCUGGACUGUUACUUUGAAAAAAUUAGAGUGUUUAAAGCAAGCUAACGCUUGAAUACAUUAGCAUGGAAUAAUGAAAUAGGACGUUCGAUCCUAUUUUGUUGGUUUCUAGGAUUGACGUAAUGAUUAAUAGGGAUAGUUGGGGGCAUUAGUAUUCAAUUGUCAGAGGUGAAAUUCUUGGAUUUAUUGAAGACUAACUACUGCGAAAGCAUUUGCCAAGGAUGUUUUCAUUAAUCAAGAACGAAAGUUAGGGGAUCGAAGACGAUCAGAUACCGUCGUAGUCUUAACCAUAAACUAUGCCGACUAGGGAUCGGAUGAUGUUAAUUUUUUAAUGACUCAUUCGGCACCUUACGGGAAACCAAAGUGUUUGGGUUC